GAUGAAGAACGUAGCGAAAUGCGAUAAGUAAUGUGAAUUGCAGAAUUCAGUGAAUCAUCGAAUCUUUGAACGCACCUUGCGCCCUUUGGCCAUUCCGAAGGGCAUACCUGUUUGAGUAUCAUGAACACCUCAACUCUUCAUGGUUUUCCAUGAUGAGCUUGGACUUUGGGGGUCUUGCUGGCCUGUGGGUCGGCUCCUCUCAAAUGAAUCAGCUUGCCGGUUUUUGGUGGGCAUCACAGGUGUGAUAACUAUCUACGCUUGUGGUUUUCCACCAGGGUAACCUUCAGCAGUGGAGGUUCACUGGAGCUUACAAAUGUCUCUCCUCUGUGAGGACAGCCCUUUGAAUGUUUGAUCUCAAAUCAGGUAGGACUACCCGCUGAACUUAAGCAUAUCAAUAAGCGGAGGA
rnacentral:misc_RNA from 1 species